rnacentral:rRNA from 1 species
UUGGAGGGCAAGUCUGGUGCCAGCAGCCGCGGUAAUUCCAGCUCCAAUAGCGUAUAUUAAAGUUGUUGCAGUUAAAAAGCUCGUAGUUGAAUUUCGGGACCAAUAUGUCGGUCGUGCUUCGGUACGUACUUGCAUUAUUGGUUUCUCCCUUCUGACGAACCAUGAUGCCAUUAAUUUGGUGUCUUGGGGAAUCAGGACUGUUACUUUGAAAAAAUUAGAGUGUUUAAAGCAGGCUCACGCUUGAAUACAUUAGCAUGGAAUAAUGAAAUAGGACGUUUGAUUCUAUUUUGUUGGUUUCUAGGAUCGACGUAAUGAUUAAUAGGGAUAGUUGGGGGCAUUAGUAUUCAAUUGUCAGAGGUGAGAUUCUUGGAUUUAUUGAAGACUAACUACUGCGAAAGCAUUUGCCAAGGAUGUUUUCAUUAAUCAAGAACGAAAGUUAGGGGAUCGAAGACGAUCAGAUACCGUCGUAGUCUUAACCAUAAACUAUGCCGACUAGGGAUCGGAUGAUGUUAAUUUUUUAAUGACUCAUUCGGCGCCUUACGGGAAAC